CCCAGACUCCUACGGGAGGCAGCAGUGGGGAAUAUUGGGCAAUGGGCGCAAGCCUGACCCAGCAACGCCGCGUGAAGGAAGAAGGCUUUCGGGUUGUAAACUUCUUUUCUCAGGGACGAAGCAAGUGACGGUACCUGACGAAUAAGCCACGGCUAACUACGUGCCAGCAGCCGCGGUAAUACGUAGGUGGCAAGCGUUAUCCGGAUUUACUGGGUAUAAAGGGCGUGUAGCCGGGUUGACAAGUCAGAUGUGAAAUCCUGCGGCUUAACCGCAGAACUGCAUUUGAAACUGUUGAUCUUGAGUACUGGAGAGGCAGACGGAAUUCCUAGUGUAGCGGUGAAAUGCGUAGAUAUUAGGAGGAACACCAGUGGCGAAGGCGGCUUACUGGACUGUAACUGACGUUGAGGCUCGAAAGCGUGGGGAGCAAACAGGAUUAGAUACCCCAGUAC
rnacentral:rRNA from 1 species